CCACAAUCCUGGGUCUCUGUCAGGCUCAUAAAGUAUGUCAUGUGUCAUAAAUGACAGAUUCUUAGGCAUACUUCAUUGAUCCUUUUGGCCGCUCCGUUUUUACGAUGCUGCUACGCCAGUUAUUCCCUGGUAAAUUGUUGCAGUAUCUACAUCGUACACACACACGCACACACCAUACGCCACACACACACACACCACACACAUAAAUGUGUUUGCUUUCACGGAGAGACGGAUGGAAUACUCUCACACACUCCGACGGAGAUGUGCGUGUUUGAAGUUUGCUUUUGAUAAAUGAAUGGAUUUUCAAAGGCGACGUUAAUGAAAUACGCAUACAGGCACAAUCCCUAGCCAAGGCAGGGCAGGGCAACGCAAGGCAAGGCACGGCACGGCAAGGAUGCUAGACGCUGAGAAUGCCACCAUCGCCAACGCAACGCCAUUGCCAUUGCCAUCUCCAUCGCCUGGCCAGCAUGAUGUGCGUAUGCCAGAGAGAGCACGAUAGAUGCUCAACUUGCGGCGCAGGAGGCCAGAGGCGUUACCAUUGCCGGCCUGGCGUUUUGAUAAAGUCCGCCGUGGCAGAUUUAUGAAGUCCCAGGGCUUCGGAAGUAGACGGACACGAACACAUGGACCAUACGUACGCCCCGGCGUGGACCCUUGAUAAACAAAUCUGUAUAAUGAGGAUGGGAGUUCCUCUAUGAAUUUUGCGGGGCAUUGCGAGAACGGAACAGGAACGUACGGAGUGGCGAUGGCGCCCAUAGAUCAUAUCAACAGAGAGCUCUCUGAAUAAUGGAAUGAAACAGAUUCACGGAGACCGAGUGAAACUGCCUUAGCAAUUGAACAGCUAUUCACCUGCCCUUCCCCAGGUGCCGCCAGGUGGCAUUGGGAAAACUGUGCCAAUAAGAAGCAAAACGGCAAGCGCUGUCAAAGCUAAAGCCAAAAACAAACGCAUUAAAAGCAACUUAAUAAUUCAGAUCAAAAUCACCAACCAGCGCUGGUGACAUGUUGACAAACGAUGCCGCCGACACCGUCACCGUCACCGACACCGCCACUGAUAUCGACACCAGAAUCAAACCGAGACCCAAACCCCAACCCACACCCAAUCCAAUGGCCAAAGGCAUCGAAAACGAGGACGCGGACGAGGACGACGACAAGA